GACGAACGCUGGCGGCGUGCUUAACACAUGCAAGUCGAACGGAAAGGCCCUGCUUUUGUGGGGUGCUCGAGUGGCGAACGGGUGAGUAACACGUGAGUAACCUGCCCUGACUUUGGGAUAACUUCAGGAAACUGGGGCUAAUACCGGAUAGGAGCUCCUGCUGCAUGGUGGGGGUUGGAAAGUUUCGGCGGUUGGGGAUGGACUCGCGGCUUAUCAGCUUGUUGGUGGGGUAGUGGCUUACCAAGGCUUUGACGGGUAGCCGGCCUGAGAGGGUGACCGGCCACAUUGGGACUGAGAUACGGCCCAGACUCCUACGGGAGGCAGCAGUGGGGAAUAUUGCACAAUGGGCGGAAGCCUGAUGAAGCAACGCCGCGUGCGGGAUGACGGCCUUCGGGUUGUAAACCGCUUUCGCCUGUGACGAAGCGUGAGUGACGGUAAUGGGUAAAGAAGCACCGGCUAACUACGUG
rnacentral:rRNA from 1 species